rnacentral:rRNA from 1 species
GACGAACGCUGGCGGCGUGCUUAACACAUGCAAGUCGAACGAAGAGCGAUGGAAGCUUGCUUCUAUCAAUCUUAGUGGCGAACGGGUGAGUAACGCGUAAUCAACCUGCCCUUCAGAGGGGGACAACAGUUGGAAACGACUGCUAAUACCGCAUACGAUCUAACCUCGGCAUCGAGGAUAGAUGAAAGGUGGCCUCUACAUGUAAGCUAUCACUGAAGGAGGGGAUUGCGUCUGAUUAGCUAGUUGGAGGGGUAACGGCCCACCAAGGCGAUGAUCAGUAGCCGGUCUGAGAGGAUGAACGGCCACAUUGGGACUGAGACACGGCCCAGACUCCUACGGGAGGCAGCAGUGGGGAAUCUUCCGCAAUGGACGAAAGUCUGACGGAGCAACGCCGCGUGAGUGAUGACGGCCUUCGGGUUGUAAAGCUCUGUUAAUCGGGACGAAAGGCCUUCUUGCGAAUAGUGAGAAGGAUUGACGGUACCGGAAUAGAAAGCCACG